rnacentral:lncRNA from 11 species
GGGAUACACCAUGAAGUCUCGAUAGAGAAAAAAGCAAAUACACAAUUAACUCCCAUUGCAACCCCAACUAAAAGGUCUACUAGCUGUGGAAAAAAUUGGAGAGGAUUAUAUACAGUACACCUUUCCUUCAACACCAAAAGUAUAAACUUCCCACCAGGAAUUCCUGCUGUCCAGCAGAACAAAGCUCAGCAUGAAAAUCUUCUGCAGCAAGAAAUAUCUAUUGCUCUCCAUAUCUUGUUGGGUUGGCCAUCCCAUUCCAUUGAGAUGAAUAGCAGAGGACUCAGAAAGGUUUCAACAUCUGCUCCAGACAAAUUGGAAUGUUCCAACUUGGGAUGUAGUGUAUGUAAAGCAGCACUUAUCCAUAAAACAUGCAUAGUUUGAUAAUAUGAAUUAGAAAUUAAGCUAACCAGUUCACAUCAAACCAUGCAUACAUUUCUUUCCUUUACCUUUAUCCUUUUGCUGAUGCUUGAUGUUUUCUCUGCAAACUCUGUUCAGUUCUGGUCUCAUGAGUGUUUAAAAGGUUCUUAUGCUAGCCCCAGUGGGCGGAGUGAAUAUUGAGAAAUCAGGAAAUUAUUAUAAUUAAUACUGCUGUUCACUAGCAUAGCAUGUAUUACUGCCAUGGCUCAAUACUAUGUAAUCGUGGGAUUUGUCAUGUGGUGAGGCGUCCUGAUAGAAUUGUACAUGAGGAAAAAGAUGUCCUCACCACUUCUAACUGGGUUUCUGUGUAACGUGUUACACAAGAGCAUCAACAUUAUUCCUUCAAGUUUUACUAUAGAGGCAAUCCAGAUGUAAGCUUGCAGGUGUCACAAAGUACAGAGAAAAUUGUUGCCACAAGGUUGGUCACCAGUUGGUCACUGCAAGGGUUAGAUAGAUAGUUACAAUUUGCCUUGAUAGAAUUAAGUAAAUAAACAAGAAGAGCAAAUGUAUGUUGGAAAAAUUGGAUCUAAAUAUGACCACAGAAAAAAAGGAAGGCUGCAGCAAUUUCCUCAAGUUAAUACUGCUAUAUGUAAUACAGUGGACAAAGUGGAGUAAAUAACUUAUUCUGGGCUUAUAGUAUACUAGGAUGCAAUUAUACUGUAGAAUUAAUGCAAUUUGAAUACCACUUUAAUUGCCAUAGCUCAAUGCUAUGGAAUCCUGGAAUUUUUAAUUUAGUAAGGCACCACCACUGUUUGGGAGAAUUGGAAUUUAUAAACUGCAGCUCAUGGUACACAUUAGUAUUUUUGUUCUUGUGAAAUAGGAAAGCUAAGAAAUACAUUUAAAAUUCCAAAAAUCACAGCAACUACAUACAUUUCUCAUGGGCCCUUAUAUUUACAAAUUACA